CAUUUGUAUAUUACAGAGGCACUCAAACAUUUUUGGGUAUUACACCUAAAAAUAAAUACCCUUCCUAAAUUGGUUAUUCUGCUGUGUGCCCUGAUGAUUCCAUGUUAUGACUAAUAAAAGAACACUUUAUCACUGCAACCACAGCGUAACCUCCUCAGAAGCAUAAGAUUGAGAGCUUUAAGAAACUGGCGUAAUUUGCAAAAAGAUGGUUAGGUCUAGAUCAAGAUCACCAAGGUGGAAACAGAGGUCCUUAUCGCCAGCAUUUAGAAGUCCAGAACACCAUAGGCAAAGGCAUGCUCAUAUUAAUUACAACUGUGAAUAUAAGGGCUUUAGGAGGGACCUGAAGAAAUCUAUGCCUUGGAGAGCAGAAGAUGGAAAAUAUGGACAAAGCAAUUCUAGAUUUGCACCUAAUGGGAAUAACCACCACAGGAUUUAUGAACAUAGGUCACCUUCACCAAGUCUAAAAAGAAUUCCUUUAGAAGAUGCAUAUAGUCAUAAACCCUAUAGAACACAUUCAUCAGAAAGGAGUGAAAGCAACAGGAGAUACCAGUUACCACCCAAAUACUCAGAAAUAGUAUACAAAGAACAUGAUCGACCUUUUUACUCGCACAAAAUGGAAGAUAGAUAUGUGCCUGAGCACUACAGAGUCACUGGAAAUGAAAAAGGAAUGAAACCUUUUUAUAGACCAUUAGGGGAUUCUUGUAAAUUUGAAAGAAAAUGGUAUGAAGAUGACUUGAGGCACCAGAGGCUACAUGAAGACAAGUAUGGUCAGUCACCUAGAAGAGUUUCUGAAGAAUUUACAGCAAGGAGCUCUUUACAGAAGAGGUAUCCUGAGGAUCGGGAUUACAGAGAAUAUGGGCACACGUCUAAAAGGGCUAAAGAAAUGGAGAGGUAUGACGGUGGAGAAGUAAGAAAUCCCAAGUGGAAGGAUGAUCGUUCUUUUCCACUCUACCAAGAAAAGGAGGAACAAAGAACCCUUGGUCCCCAAGUUCAUCGGCCUGCUGAAAGGGAGUACACAGAGAGUUCUGUUAUGAAGACGGCAUAUGAAUAUAGUCACAAACGUCAUAGACAGCCAGAUGGGGAAAAAUCAUUUGCAGAUGAUAGAGCUCAGAAGUAUGUAAAGCAGGAAGAGCAAAAAUAUAAUUCUUCUAAGGGUGCUCGGGAUAGCAAAGAGCUAGAUUAUUUUAGUGGUGGAAGAGUGAGACAGACUGAAGAGGGGCAUAUUGAAGUACCCAUUAAAUAUAGCUCAAAGAAAGGCUGCAAUGAAUGUGCUAACUCUUACAAAAGUGAUGUUGAUCUGAGACCCUUUAACAAACAGAAGGAAAGAGUAAGGAAAGAAGGGGAUUUCAGGAAAAAAGUAGAUUCUUCCAAUAGCCAGCAUGAUACACAUCAUACAGUUUCAGAUACGAAAAUGUCAGAGGUCAACUCUAGGAGGGAGCGGCUCACAAUCAAAGUGGAUAUGAAGAAAAUGGUGAACAAGCCCAGGGCUGCUUCUAGCCAUACCACAGAGAGGCAGAUGUCACAUGACCUGGUUGCAGUUGGCAGAAAAAAUGAAAAUUUUCAUCCAGUCUUUGAGCACAUGGAAUCUGUGCCACAGAAUGUUGAAAAUAACCCAUCACGAGAAUUUACUCAGGAAAUAAUUAUGAUAAUCCAUCAAGUUAAAGCAAAUUAUUUUACAUCCUGUGACCUAACAUUGCAUGAACGCUUCUCCAGAAUUCAAGAUAAACCAGUUGCAAACCUAAAUGAAGUCAAAAUGCAUUCAGAUCCAGAAAUUCACAGGAGAAUUGAUAUGUCUUUGGCAGAACUUCAGAAUAAACGAGCUGUGCCAUGUGAAUCUGGACAGACAGUUGUACGAGUUCUAGAAGAUCCAAAUGAUUUACGUCAUGAUAUAGAAAGAAGGAGAAAAGAAAGGCUGCUGAAUGAAGAUGAGCGAACGUUUCACAUAAAUGAUGUAAAUAAAAGGAACAACCAGAGCUGCAGCUUUUUGAAAUUACGGAACUCCCAAAUUGAUGGAUUCCAAAAGCCUAUAAGGUUCCUAAAACCACCUUUCAGGAAAUUUAUUAGGAAGCCUCACAUAAAUUCUUAUUAUGCUGCAAAAACAAAUGAUAUCUUUACUCCCAGACGAAUUAGAGGACACCUUGAAAAUCCUGGACCCAUCAGAAAACCAUUUAAGACUAACUUUACAGAUGGUCGGUUGCAACCCCAUUAUAAAUCAGGCUUAGUACAGAAGGGUUUAUAUAUUCAAGCUAAGUACCAGCGGCUGCGUUCUGCUGGUGUAAGGGGAUUUACCACUAAUAAAUUCAGAGAAGGAUUUUUGAGGAAAGAAAAGGUACACAUGCAAGCAGCCCAGUGGAUAUAAAUGGGACUCAGUAAUGGCUUACAAAUGUGAAUGCAGGAUUACAACCUGGCCCCCACUGAGGAAAAGAUCGGAAUUAAAUUGACCUGGUUCCUGUAGUGAAGAGACCUUAUGUUUUUGGGACCGUCAAACAUUGUCAGAGAAACCUGAACUUUGAUGCUGACGUUGAGACAUAACGAUAAUAACUCACAAGGGAACAUCUGUUUGUUUUUUGACAACUUUGCCAGGAAUUAAAAUAGGAUAAAUGGAACUAACAGUGUAGCUUUCUCAGAAAAAAUGACCUUAUUUUUCAGUAGUGGAAUGCUGCAGAACUUUUUUACAGUUUUAAUAAUUGCUUUUAAAUUACAGUACAGUAUUUAGUUGAAAAGUUGUAGUAUGGUACUUUCAGUUCCUUUUUGCAAACAAGUUUCAAGAACAGAAAUCACUGAAGGGAGUCAUAUUUAUUGAAUACUUUUCUCUAAGCAUGAUUUUAUGAAUAGAAAUUGAGUUGUUAUACCCAGAGGUUUAUAUGUUGAAAAGUUUAUUGCUUGUGUAAAAAAACAAAAACAAAUAAAAAAAAAAAAGAAGGUAAAGAGAGAGGAAAAAAAAGUGCCUGAAUUGUUCAGUGAUAGCACAUUAGCUCAGGACUCUCCAAGCAAUGACCUUUUAGGUUGUGCAAUAGACCUUACCUCUCUUUUCAGUUAUUUCCCUAGGAAAAUAUUUGUGUUACUUCUGCUUGCUUUUUUUUCAGUUGGGUGUUUGACUUACAAAUGCAUAUACGUUUGUAAAUAAAUUGUUAGAAAUUUGUGACAAUUUCCAGCAUUUAAUCAAAAUGUGUGGUAAUGGGUAGGUAUGUAACGUACUGCAUAGCAGUAGUUUAUAAAUGCACUGAAAGCAUGCUUGGGACUGUUAGAGGAUUAGUUGGCCUGUAUUCAGAAAUACCUUGGUUCACCAUAUGUUUGUGAGAGACGUUCUUAAUCGAGCAGCACAUUUUCUAACAUUUUGCCACAAAUAGGCUUGGAAGGUAUGUGUUUAAAAAGAAGUCUUUUUAAAAAGCAUGUCUUCUGACAAAGCUGUCUGAAGCAAUUUCACCAAUUAACGCAGAAAGCCUGUAACUUUUAAAAAAUUAAAAUCCCAGUCACUCCUCAAAGUUUAUCCCACCACAAUGUUAUGCUACAUGCAAAAAUCAAGUAGGCCGACAAAUGCUCAGCCCAAUACGGUAUUUUCUGUUUAUAGUUAGAGCCUUAAUAUAUAUUAAUAAGUUUGUAUGUGUUUCAUAUUUUGUAUUCCAAGCACAUUAAAGACAAAUGUCUAGUAGCUUCCAGGGAAGACUUUCUAAUUUGUUAUAAAAAUGUUGUCAUUUAAUCACUUUGUGUAUUUAAAAGUUCUCUCCAAGGUUAUAGUAGCCAUAAAAAGUGCAACAAAUAAUUCUGUUUAUGGAUUGUAUUAAGGUAUUUGGUAUGCUUAACACGUGAAAUGUCAGAAGGAAAAUUCACUCUUCUUUUGGUAAAAUUACACUAUGGACUACACACACUACAUCACUUUUUUUUUUUAGAAUUAUUAUGGUUUAUUGAAGCUUCCUAAGUAUGCUUGAGAGCACUAUAAAAUGUUUUAGUACAGUAUGAUGAAAUCUAACUAAAACCCGUUCACAUAUAAUUGGGCAUACAACUUCAAUCUUUACAAAGAAGGAAAAUUGAGCGGGGAAGAGGCAGGGAAUCAUGGUUAUAACUGAUUUAAUACUAAGUAUAGAUAAAAUUUCAAUUUUGCCUUUCCAAAAAGCAGUGUGUUUAGUUUAGAUAACAGGCACCCCUGCCUCCUUUCUUCAGUAACUUAUACUAAGUUUUUAGGGGGUUGUGGUCCAUAUAAAUCAAGCAGAAAGCUGAAGUAGAAGAAAUAUUUUUUCCUUUCAGAACUAUGUAAUAACAUAGUUAUUUAGUAUUAACAUAUAGCCUAUUUAGUGUUAGGCUACAUAAAGUGAAUCUGUUCAAAUCUAGGCCUACUUUGCUUAAAUUCUGAGUAGCUAUUCACACCAAAUGAAUAGAGUGUAGAAAAGCUGAAUGUAGAAAAGCACUUUUAAAUAAACAUGUACACAGCAGAAAAUAAACUGUUCAAGCGGCACUGCGUUAUCUGGCAGAAUAGUACUAUUUCUGUAAUAUUUUUAUUUUGCAAAAAAUCUUGGCAAAGAAUUGUUUUGAGCAAGUGGAAAAGUAUGGUUACAUGUGGAAACAUCUGUAUCAUGACUGUUUUGUUGCUGUUGUAUGAGAGUGUAUGCAUUUUGGUUUAUCCAGUUCAUACAACUUACACAAAAAUCCAGCUUUAGAAAUAUGAAUAACUUCUCCAGUUAUCUGCGUGCUGUUUUAUUUUACUUACGACGUUGGGCAGCUUUAAUUUUGUAGUACAGUCAUACCUUUUCUUGCAUGGCUUUCAUGCAUAUCGUUUAGAACUGACAGCAGUGCAAAUGGUUAAAUUGCAUUCUUUAUUAAUAACUUUGCAAUUCCGAUUUAGGACGCCCCUGCAGUAAGUAAAUCAGUUUUGUGUGUAGCAUGGAGGAUUGUACACGAAUGGUAAGGUCUUAUAAACAAUCCUGACUUAAAUGCUGCUUUCUGGUUGGACAUUUCUGCUGAAGAGCAACUGCUGUCCUGUUAAUUGUGGAAGUGUUGCAAAUAUGUUUUCAUUCACGUUACAGAAGUAGCAUAGCAUGUUAGGUCUUGUAAAUUAAGUUAGGUCGAUUUAUACAUGCAUACAUACACGUGUAGAACUAAGAUUUUGAAAAGGGGAAGUGGAUGGUGUGGUACAUCAUUGGACAUAACUGUCUUUCUCUCCACUUAAAGAGAAGCUAGAAGGUUUAUUGAUACACUAGAGGUCUAGCACUAUAUGAUUUAGUUUAAGUUGAAAACAAAAACAGAUAUAACUUUAUUGGAAUGUGCAAUUAAAUUUUUAAUAAACACAACUAACUAGGCAAAAAGUUGAAAUAUUUUGUUUCAUUAGUCCUGUAGCCAUUAUAGUUAAAUAUAUGUUUCUUAUUCCAAUUCAUAAAACAAAAUCUAGCUUUCAUGAGUGUCUUGACAGUGCCUUCAAUACUGUCAGUCAUUUCCACACUGGAGCUAAUAGCACUGUACCCCAGUUAGGGUUUUAGCUAGAUCUAAAAACAGUCUGCAGAGCUGUGAAAUAUGAGGCACAUUACUAGAAAUGGCUAAUAGACAACAACAUCGCAGAAGAAAGAAUAGUUUGAAUAGUGGAACAUCAAGACCAUGAAGAAGGAGAGGGGUAUUAACACCUAUGGAAUGCGGAGAGAUUAGCAGGAAUUGGGUAGAACAGGUUGGCAGCCUUUUUGGGCAAAGUGCCAAAAACACCCUCAAACUUAACUUGUAAGAUAUUGGCAUGCCAGGGGCAGCCACAAGGUGCCUGAUCUUUAUUGUGUCAGUACAGCCUCAGCCCUUUCCACAAGGCGCAAGUACCAAGCAGAAUGCCUUUGCGUGGCACACGUGCCAGGGUUUGCCUACUCCUAAGGUAGAAGAUAAUGAGCCAUGAUUCAGUUGACUCCCUCUGUGCUACAUUAAUAGAAAUGCUGCCAUCCCUCCCAGGCAGCUGGUUUUAAAGUUUGGGUUGAAGGAGGAAACGGGGGGGGGUCAGAGAGACUCUAUAUACCUAGUCAGCAUAAUAUUUUAAAAUAAUCAAAAGGCAGAGUAGAAGGGGAUAUGGUUAGAGAUGGUUAUAAUAACAAAGGUGAUUCUGUGAAAAACUGUUCCGUGCCUUUCUGUACUGUAACUGCAUUGUGAAAAAUGACAUCUGCCAUACAAGAAAAGCUAAGUGUUGCUCUGAAAAAUCAAUUUGAUGGGAAAUGUGGGUAGGAAACAUUUGGGUAUUACAAAAGACACUUUUUUUGUUCACUAUGCAAGUAAUUCUUAGCCUCUAUAUAUUGUAGCUUAACCAAAAGGAGGUAUAUAGUAUGCCUUUUCUAUGGGUAAGGCAUAUAAAUACUUUUUCAUUGGGAAAUGCUAGCUGUCAAGUAUGCAGUUGUCUGAUGGCCAAAUUUUUUCUUGAUUACGUUUUAUAGAUGCUAGUUGUUUAUAUUUUAAUCAGCUCGAUGAAAUGACCAUACUGGGAUGCUACCUGUCAUAUCACCAUUGGAGUUCUUACAAUUUGCAGUGUUUAAACUCUGUAGCACUAUCCAAGAUGCAGUGGCUUAAUAUGAUUGAAGUCCAUAUUUGUGUGUUAAGAAGUUGUCACUGCUUUUGGCAUAUACAUUGCUGAGCAUUUUAAGUAAUUCUGUCAUGGUAGGCUUAGAACCCUGAUUUUAUCUUGCUUUUUUGAUCAGAUUUCCAAAGUUAAGAAAUAUAAUUGCGUGGGUUCCUGGAAAGCAAGCGAGCAAUACACUGGAUGAGUGUACUCUGCUAGAGCUCUGCCUUGCCCUUUUCUAUUAUUUACUCUAUUUUUAACCAUGUUU